AUGGAAGUGAUGUCUGCAAGAGAACAAAGAUGUUUUAAUUUGUAUUGCAGCAGUAGGAAUCCGCCCUCCAUGUCCUGCCCAAAUUCUUUCUUCCAUCACCAUGGAUGGGAUAACUUUUGUCAUCCUCUUCCAAAGGUAUGUAUAACUGAGAUCCAAGGCACUUUGAGAUUAAAUGGCAGUAUGUGCAUAUAUUUUGUCUAUACACAUACAUCACACACACAUACAAGAAUCAAAGUAGUAGUAAUAGUAUUACAGUUUCCAUUGAAACUGUGGCAGAGGGAUUACAAUGUUCAUCUCAUCCCCUCCCUUUGUUUCAAUAUACCUUCAUUUCUGUUUCCGUUUUAUACAGUGAGGGACAGUCUGUGCACUGAUGAAUUAAGGCAGACAGUGAGGCUGUGGGAGGCAUGUGUCAGGAAGAGCACAUCGUCAUCUGUGUUACAGCCUCUGAGACCCCAGCUGAGGAACAGAUGCAUACAUGUUCUUAACCUUACCUCAAUGAUCUGUUUAAGCUUCACUGUGCAAAUUAUAUUAAUUGUUACAUGAUUAAGUGUUUUUGUAAAACAGACUCUAAAUCACUAGCAAAAUGUGCCUAGGAGCUUUGAGGCUCAGGCUAGGUACAAGUUGUACCUAGGUACAACAUCAGAUGUAUGCACGUAGCCCUCCAAACACCCUUUCUCUUAAUCCUAAUGUUGCCCAUGAUAUUAAAUAUAUGAAUGGUCAAUACCUGCCUUGUGCUUGUUUACUUUGCCAUGUGCAUCCUUUUAUGUUGGUAUUGGAUUUACAUUUUUUCAAUGCAUUUAAAGCUGUCCAAUGGGCCAGUUCAUGGAUUUGUUUCAAUACCAUAGAUUUGUUUCAAUACAUGUGUGCUACAAUCUCAUUAUCAGUGGACAAUUAGCACCUUCCUCAUGAUUAGAUAUCAACAAUACAGCUGGAUGUUAUUACAGAAUUUCUUCAAGGGUGACAAAAAUAAUUUUUAAUAGGCUCUUCCUUCAUGAGUCACCAGUUUCCUCACGGCUGUCAGGGCCCUGAGGGCACAAACAAGCCUUAGUGGUGCAACCAGCCUCAGCUGUACCUGGCCAUGGCCUCUGGUGACCUGAAUCUCAGCUUGCAGACUGACUUCCUGAGUUGAACUUGGAUCUGACUCAUCCUCAUGCAUUUCCUUGGUGAUCCAGGCUCUUGGCUGGACCUGGCCACUAUCUCUUUGUCUGCACAGAGCAGACCCUUGCUACUCCCUCACUUUGGCUGAGGGCAGUAUUUUGGCAAGAAAGUGCUGUACCUCUGCAAGCCCAUGUCUACUGCUCUUAGGCAUGGUUUGCUUCAUCCACACCUAGUGUCACACAGCGUUGAAAACUAAUGAACAUAUGUCACCUGAUACAAGCCAAAAUAUGGCUCAUUGCUCUAGUGUGGACAAGCUGGGGGAAAACGAGAAGUCUGGGGAGACAGGACCAGGAAAUCAGACAGAAAAAAAUUCCAGUGAUUGCAGGAUGUUCCUAUCUGCUGUGAUGACAACAAGGAAGAUCCACCUGCUAUCAUUUUUGUGGAA
rnacentral:lncRNA from 1 species